AUCCUUUUGUAGUUCAUGAGCGUGAUGAUUGGGUGUUCACAUGCCUACGUGACUUGUGCCUCCCUCAACCCUUGGUUAUGACAUCGGCACAUUACCUGUCUGACG
rnacentral:snoRNA from 1 species